UGCAAAAUGAUGAUAUAAAAUGCCUUAUAACAACUUGUUCGUAAAGAGCAAGGUCCAAUAUAUGACUCUUUUUUUUAUGUUAUCCUUGACUUUAUGACACAAAUAUGACGCAUGUAAUCACAUGCAUAACUUUAAUUGGUAGAAGACAUUAGUCAUACAUACCUUCUAAGAUGUAAAAUGGAUUAAAUGAACUAGUUAACUUUUGGGCACACAUGUUAAAGUGCUUUGACCAAGAAAAUUAAAUAAAUAAUUUACGGAGCUACAUGGUCAAUGCUCUUUAGAUUGUGUGCUGAAAUUCAACUGCCUCAUAUAAUUAGAUCUAAUUUGGGAUGGAGCUGUGGAGGGAGUAUUUUUGUAGGCCCUAAUAAUAUCAUUUUAGAGGGGCUUUAUUGUAUCCAUAAAUUUAAGGUCUUGUGACAUAUGAGUGUACAUCUUGAUGUUUGGAUUGAAGUGGAAUAAUAACAUGACAUGUUCUAUAAAGUUUUACUGAGCAUGUUUAUAUUUGCGUGGUGGGAUUCAAGGAAGUUAAGAUUUAAAUAGGAGUUCGUCAAGCUAAAUUAUUCGUAUAAAUAUUCUGUUUAAGAUUUUCAACGUGAGACUACUUCGAGUUACAACUUACAAUCUUUCCCUUUGUAAAGUUUAUGAUUUUUACUUUGAACUAAAGCAAUUGGUAAUGGGACUUCCAAAACUUUAGUGGACAAUGGGAGAGAAUAUGCCUAUAUAUAUAGAUGCACAGUAACGAGAGACCCAGAAACUUUUCUUUUAAAUUUGAGAUAAACGUGAACCUCCUUAUAUGGGAUCACGACAUAGUAUUGUGUAAGCAUUUAUUUUUGUGGUUUACAAAGCACAACAUUGUGCUAAAGUAUAAAAUAUUCCAAAAAAAAUUAUCUAGCUGACUCGUCUCUUAUGGUUGUGUCAUGCAAAAAAUUUGUCACUACUUUUGUCAUGUAACCUUUACCACGCAGGUUGAUUAAAAACCUUGAAGAGUGUUCUAUCCACCUAUCCAAGAUGUUGGAUCUGCUGAUUUUUGGCAACUUUUACAAAAUUAAUGCAGUAUUGUUAAAAUUGUGGUGCCAAGCCUCGAACAGUUCUUGGCAGUGUUUUUGACUGGGAUGUUGAAAUUGUGGCGCCAAGUUUCAAACAAGUCCCACCAACGGUUCAGAAAUACAAGUGUCAAGGUUAGAUAUGCUUAUAAUUUUCUUAGCUUUGAUUUAUUCACUUACGAUGGGGUUUGUCUGAAAUGGAAUUAGACAUUUUAGUUGUGAUAAAUUGGGUCAGCUUAGUCCCUCCUGCGUUGUAAUAAGCUAAAGUGUAAACAAGGCCUAAGUCAUAAAUCUCGUUGUUGUGGUAUCUAGGUGCUUAACAAAAUGACUUUAGGUUGUGUAUUAUUGAAGGCUAUAGACAAGAUAAAGACGUCUCGUGGUACUACUUUGAAGUGUUCUUGCGAAUUUCUAUCUGAAACACGUUUUUUAGACUACCUUAUCUUUUGUUAAGGAUAAAAAUACGAGAUUCAACUUCUAAUGCAAAGCACACACACAAAAAUAUAUGAUGCUGAAAAUCCACGUCCCAACUUGUAUUAUUAAUUAAAACUAUUGUCAAUAAUACAAUCCACCAAACUUGGAUACUCAAGGCUCACAGCACUCAAGUAUCCGCCCUCGAGCGAUACCUAAAUCUACACCUUGAGCACGCCUAUCAAACACAAUAUGACUAUGUAUAUAUAGCCAUCUCAAACUUAUACAAAUCAUAAUCUAAUUCAGAAAUACCUAACUCGAGUUAGAAUCCAAUUCUGAAAUCUAACUCAAAUUUUCUAUGGAUCAAAGCAUUUUGUUGAUUGAGAAGAUAAAACAUCAUGGUAGAAGCCCUCUAAAUAAAUACUCUUCAAAGUGUUAUUAAAAUUUAAUAACCCUUCUAUCGUGAUAAUUAAUAUAUUUUGAACUAGAACGGAGGGAAAAUAAAGGGAAUUUCGAAGUUUGUCUGUAGAAAAAUUUCUUAGGUUGCACGAUAUAUUCACAUCAAAUCGUGUUUAUAGUAGAUACCCUGUAAAGUGAUCACCUCCAGGUCAUAACUUCCUUAUGUUAAAUUAGGAUAAACCCCUUAUGCUAUCUGUCUUCGAAAAAAUCGCAGUGCUACUGGUGGUCCCAUUUUAUUGAUGUUUAAUAACUUUUAAGUUAUCAAUUAUCUUCUGACCUAGUUGUAGUUGUGAAUUUUGUAGGUUGCAAAUUCCCUUUGUAUUUAUAAGAGGUGUUUAUAAACUUUGAAGAUGUACAAUUCAUGAUAAUUUUAUUGGAUGGAAGUGUUACAUGAGUAAAUCUUUUGGAAAUCCCACAAACUAUGGAUAUUGUAUGUAUUCAUUGGCUAAAACACAUAUUAAAUUAUUUCAGAGCAAAAUAAAUGUGAAUCCGUCUGUAAUGAUACUUUCGCUCAGUUUCCCGGACUCUUCGAUUUGGCUUGACUGGACAAGACAUGGGUGUGGGUACCGGAGACGACUUAAGUGCAAAAUGAUGAUAUAAAAUGCCUUAUAACAACUUGUUCGUAAAGAGCAAGGUCCAAUAUAUGACUCUUUUUUUUAUGUUAUCCUUGACUUUAUGACACAAAUAUGACGCAUGUAAUCACAUGCAUAACUUUAAUUGGUAGAAGACAUUAGUCAUACAUACCUUCUAAGAUGUAAAAUGGAUUAAAUGAACUAGUUAACUUUUGGGCACACAUGUUAAAGUGCUUUGACCAAGAAAAUUAAAUAAAUAAUUUACG
rnacentral:lncRNA from 1 species